CGGGUGGUAAUGCCGGAUGCUCCGACUCCUCGCAUGGGGUGUCGGGAAAGAUUUCAUCGGUAUGGGAUGGGGUCGCGUCCUAUCAGGUAGUCGGCGGGGUAACGGCCCACCGAGCCUACGACGGGUAGCCGGCCUGAGAGGGCGACCGGCCACAUUGGGACUGAGAUACGGCCCAGACUCCUACGGGAGGCAGCAGUGGGGAAUAUUGCACAAUGGGCGCAAGCCUGAUGCAGCGACGCCGCGUGCGGGAUGACGGCCUUCGGGUUGUAAACCGCUUUUGAUCGGGAGCAAGCCUUCGGGUGAGUGUACCUUUCGAAUAAGCACCGGCUAACUACGUGCCAGCAGCCGCGGUAAUACGUAGGGUGCAAGCGUUAUCCGGAAUUAUUGGGCGUAAAGGGCUCGUAGGCGGUUCGUCGCGUCCGGUGUGAAAGUCCAUCGCUUAACGGUGGAUCUGCGCCGGGUACGGGCGGGCUGGAGUGCGGUAGGGGAGACUGGAAUUCCCGGUGUAACGGUGGAAUGUGUAGAUAUCGGGAAGAACACCAA
rnacentral:rRNA from 1 species